rnacentral:lncRNA from 1 species
CUGAAUCUUUCGUAGCCUUCAAAUCCACAAAUUUUCUUCUAAAAAUACUAUUUUUUUCUUUAGGUUUGCUUUUAUUUUGCUUUUGUUUUGUUUUGUUUUUACUUUUAUUUAUCGAAAUAUUUGUUUUGAUCAAAGUUGUUAGAAUGUUUUUUUAUACAUUAUUACUAUGAGAUUUCCUGCACCAUGCGCAUAAAUAAAUAAUAUUAUUUUAUUUUAAAAUUAUAAUUUACAUCUCAAC